UAUAUGUAUAUUUUGUGAGCCAUUGCAUGAAAAUGACAUGAGCAUGAAUUGCGCCUCAUAUCAAGUGGCGGGUAUUACAACUUGAGUGUAAUUUCUUUUUAAUGCUUGACAACGACCAAGAACACGUCCUCUACCUCUUCCUCGUCCUUUUUGCUUUAUACGAGGGCUUUAACUUGAGAACUUGUUCCAAAGGCUCUUCUUGUCUUCUUUUUAUUUUUUCUUCAUGAGCUUGUAGAGAUCCCUCUAAUUAAUCAAAUUUCAAAGUGUUUAGAUCAUUUGAUUCCUUAAUGGCACAAACCACAUAGUCGAAUUUUGGUGGCAAUGAUUGAAGAAUUUUUUGCCAUAUCUCCUCAUUUGGCUUACCAUAAACUUUACCUUUGGGCAAAAAUCUGAAAUGGAUUCAACAUCCUUCAUUUACAAAGCUUCAAAUUCGUAUUGUAAAGUUUGGAGUCGCACCUUCUUCACCUUGUCAACUCAUUGGAGGGAAUUCUUCAAAAUCUCCCAAUAUUGCUUUGUGUUGGUAGCAUCGGCUACCUUUAGAAAUAUAGAUUCAUUCAAACCUUGAUUGAUGAAUGCAAGGACUACUUGAUCAUUCUUCUUUAUUUAUGUAAAACAAUUCUUCUCAUUUUGAGUUAAGGAUCCUUCAUCUUCAUGUGGAGUAAAAUCUCUUUCUACAAUAACCCACAUAUCUUGGGGGCCAAGUAUCAUUUUCAAACGAAGGCACCAACUCUCAUAGUUUUCUUUUGUAAGAUAAAGAAAUUGGAACGAAAAUAGAUUUUUGCUGUCGUCUCUCUAGAAUUUUAAUAAGAAAUCAAGCUCUGAUACCACUUUGUUGGAGAUAAGAGAAAUAAGCUAGAAAGGCUAAUAAGAAGAAUCAAAUUUUUUCUAUUGUGGUUAUAAAAAAGCUUCAAGUUCAUGGCUAUUUAUAUGUACUAUUAGAAGAAAUAGAAUUAAUUAUAAUUACCAACAAACAUAAUAAAUUUAAUUUAUGAUCCAUAACUAUUAACG
rnacentral:lncRNA from 1 species